rnacentral:rRNA from 1 species
GGAACGUGCGGGGUGCUUACACAUGCAAGUCGAACGGUGAAGGAGGAGCUUGCUCCUCCGGAUCAGUGGCGAACGGGUGAGUAACACGUGAGCAAUCUGCCCCGGACUCUGGGAUAAGCGUUGGAAACGACGUCUAAUACCGGAUACGACGCGCGAAGGCAUCUUCUGCGCGUGGAAAGAACUUCGGUUCGGGAUGAGCUCGCGGCCUAUCAGCUAGUUGGUGAGGUAACGGCCCACCAAGGCGACGACGGGUAGCCGGCCUGAGAGGGUGACCGGCCACACUGGGACUGAGACACGGCCCAGACUCCUACGGGAGGCAGCAGUGGGGAAUAUUGCACAAUGGGCGCAAGCCUGAUGCAGCAACGCCGCGUGAGGGACGACGGCCUUCGGGUUGUAAACCUCUUUUAGUAGGGAAGAAGCGAAAGUGACGGUACCUGCAGAAAAAGCUCCGGCUAACUACGUGCCAGCAGCCGCGGUAAUACGUAGGGGGCAAGCGUUGUCCGGAAUUAUUGGGCGUAAAGAGCUCGUAGGCGGUCUGUCGCGUCUGCUGUGAAAACCCGAGGCUCAACCUCGGGCCUGCAGUGGGUACGGGCAGACUAGAGUGCGGUAGGGGAGAUUGGAACUCCUGGUGUAGCGGUGGAAUGCGCAGAUAUCAGGAAGAACACCGAUGGCGAAGGCAGAUCUCUGGGCCGUUACUGACGCUGAGGAGCGAAAGCGUGGGGAGCGAACAGGAUUAGAUACCCUGGUAGUCCACGCCGUAAACGUUGGGCGCUAGAUGUGGGGACCAUUCCACGGUUUCCGUGUCGCAGCUAACGCAUUAAGCGCCCCGCCUGGGGAGUACGGCCGCAAGGCUAAAACUCAAAGGAAUUGACGGGGGCUCGCACAAGCGGCGGAGCAUGCGGAUUAUUUCGAUGCAACGCGAGACCUUACCAAGGCUUGACAUAUACGAGACGCCGCAGAGAUGCGACUCUUUGGACACUCGUAUACAGUGUGCAUGAUGUCGUCAGCUCGUGUCGUGAGAUGUGGGUAAGUUCCCGCACGAGCGCAACCCCUCGUUCUAUGUGCAGCACAUAUGGUGGACUCAUAGAGACUGCGGUCAACUCGGAGAAGGUGGGAUGACGUCAAUCAUCAUGCCGUAGGUCUUGGCUUCACGCCAUGCCUACAAUGGUCGGUUUAUAA